UGGGGGAUAUUGCACAAUGGGCGCAAGCCUGAUGCAGCGACGCCGCGUGAGGGAUGACGGCUUUCGGGUUGUAAACCUCUUUUACUAUUGAACAAGGCGCCAUAUUGGUGGUGUUGAGGGUAGGUGGUGAAUAAGCGCCGGCUAACUACGUGCCAGCAGCCGCGGUAAUACGUAGGGCGCGAGCGUUGUCCGGAAUUAUUGGGCGUAAAGAGCUCGUAGGCGGCUUGUCGCGUCUGCUGUGAAAUCCUGGGGCUUAACUCUGGGCGUGCAGUGGGUACGGGCAGGCUAGAGUGCGGUAGGGGUGAUUGGAAUUCCUGGUGUAGCGGUGGAAUGCGCAGAUAUCAGGAGGAACACCGAUGGCGAAGGCAGGUCACUGGGCCGUUACUGACGCUGAGGAGCGAAAGCAUGGGGAGCGAACA
rnacentral:rRNA from 1 species